GAAACGGUUGCUAAAACUGGAUAGGAAACAAAAAGGCAUCUUUUUGUUUUUAAAAGACCUUCUUAUGAAGGUAUGCUUAAAGAGGGGCUUGCGCCACAUUAGUUAGUUGGUAGAGUAAAAGCCUACCAAGACGAUGAUGUGUAGCUGGACUGAGAGGUUGAACAGCCACAUUGGGACUGAGACACGGCCCAAACUCCUACGGGAGGCAGCAGUAGGGAAUUUUCGGCAAUGGAGGAAACUCUGACCGAGCAACGCCGCGUGAACGAUGAAGUAUUUCGGUAUGUAAAGUUCUUUUAUUGAAGAAGAAAAAGUAGUGGAAAAACUAUAUUGACGUUAUUCAAUGAAUAAGCCCCGGCUAACUAUGUGCCAGCAGCCGCGGUAAGACAUAGGGGGCGAGCGUUAUCCGGAAUUAUUGGGCGUAAAGGGUGCGUAGGCUGUUAGAUAAGUCUAUAAUUUAAUUUCAGUGCUUAACGCUGUCUUGUUAUAGAAACUGUCUUGACUAGAGUGAGAUAGAGGCAAGCGGAAUUCCAUGUGUAGCGGUAAAAUGUGUAAAUAUAUGGAGGAACACCAGAAGCGUAGGCGGCUUGCUGGGUCUUUACUGACGCUGAGGCACGAAAGCGUGGGUAGCAAACAGGAUUAGAUACCCUGGUAGUCCACGCCGUAAACGAUGAGUACUAAGUGUCGGGGUAAAACUCGGUACUGAAGUUAACACAUUAAGUACUCCGCCUGAGUAGUACGUACGCAAGUAUGAAACUUAAAGGAAUUGACGGGACUCCGCACAAGCGGUGGAUCAUGUUGUUUAAUUCGAAGAUACACGAAAAAUCUUACCAGGUCUUGACAUACUCUGCAAAGCUAUAGAAAUAUAGUGGAGGUUAUCAGGGAUACAGGUGGUGCAUGGUUGUCGUCAGUUCGUGUCGUGAGAUGUUAGGUUAAGUCCUAAAACGAGCGCAACCCUUGUCGUUAAUUGCCAGCACGUAAUGGUGGGGACUUUAGCGAGACUGCCAAUUAAACAUUGGAGGAAGGUGAGGAUUACGUCAAAUCAUCAUGCCCCUUAUGAUCUGGGCUACAAACGUGAUACAAUGGCUGUGACAAAGAGUAGCUGAAACGCGAGUUUUUAGCCAAUCUCAAAAAAGCAGUCUCAGUUCGGAUUGAAGUCUGUAACUCGACUUCAUGAAGUUGGAAUCGCUAGUAAUCGCGAAUCAGCAUGUCGCGGUGAAUACGUUCUCGGGGUUUGUACACACCGCCCGUCA
rnacentral:rRNA from 1 species